rnacentral:rRNA from 1 species
UGAGGAAUAUUGGUCAAUGGGCGGAAGCCUGAACCAGCCAAGUCGCGUGAGGGAAGACGGUCCUAUGGAUUGUAAACCUCUUUUGCAGGGGAGCAAGGAGCGGUACGCGUACCGCUUUGGAGAGUACCCUGAGAAAAGCAUCGGCUAACUCCGUGCC